GGCGGGACGGCCGCGGGCUCUGCGCCCGCCCUCGGCGCGGACCCUGGGCCCCGACCCCGCGGUCGCCGGGGCUCCCCUUCCUCUGUCCCAGUGCGCCCAGCCCCGCGCUCCGCACCCGGGCACCCCCGCGGGGUUCUCCUGAGUUCCUGGAGCUCCCGGGGCUGGCGCUCACGCCGUGAGAGGGGUGCGCCCUUAGGGGGGCGGGACGGACGGGGGGUUUCUACGGGAGGUAGGAAACGGGCGGCUUGCAAGGCGCGGGCUUAGGCCGGAGCCUGGUGGUGCGAGGUCCCCAGCUCGGAUUUCUCCCUGGUGGAGAGUCCCGGAGCAGAACAAACCAGCAGAGGCUCUGGAAAGGGUCCUCCUGAGCACGUGGCUCAUUCAUUCAUUCGACAAACGUUACCUGAGCGCCUGCCCACUCAUUGCCCGAGUGUGCUGGGAGCGCCGCACCAACUGCCUGGUAGGUGGGAGAAGGGACACGUCAGGUAACAAACAGCACAGAAAAGAGAGGUUAAAACCAAGACAUGGACAAAGCCUCCGAAUGAAGGCAGCCCUUUAAAUGGAAUAAAUUUGGUUUCAUGGCACAUUAAUGGGGUGUCUUCUCUCCGAAGACACAGAGACAACUACAGUAGGUCUGGGGGCCGUCAGGGAUUGGAGGAACGAAGGUAAGAAAAGGAAGAAGGUAAGAAAAAGAGGUCCCUACCUCUGUGAGGUAGGGACAGUGCUGAACAGCAGGGCUGGGAGAGCCCACAGGGAGGUGGCCAGGAUGGCCACAGGGCCUGGGGAGGACCAGGUGGGGCACCAUCCUGCGGUAGAGAAUGCCCGUCACCUGCCCUAGGGGCCACCCAGAAUGCAGAUUAAAUAAGUAUUUGGGAAUGGCACAGGAGCUUUUCCAUUUUCGUGGGUUAGAGGAAAGCUGCUGCGUUCAAGAGGAUAACGUGGGACCUGAGCAUUCUGGUAAGUCAACCCCACAUUCAUGGAAAGCCACGGGCUCUGUUUUACUGAUAAGGAACUGAAGUCCCACAGAGGAAGUGGCCAGGCUCACUCACACACAGCAUGCACUUGAAGCUUUCUGUGGAAAUCAGAAACCUCCGGGGCUCAGGCGCUGUAGUGGUGGCCUGGUGACUCUGACCCCUUGAAGGAGAAGCAUCUGUGAAGGUGCUGUCCAGGACAAGUAGGGUGCUCUACGGUAAAGGACAUGGUGGCCUGACCUGCUCCAGAGCAGGGAGGCCUCCCUUGAGGAAAUAAGAUAAACCCAGACUUUAAGGAUAAGCAGAAACCAGCUAGGUGAACUGGAGUGGGAACAGCACGUGAAAAGGCCCUGGUUUAGGAAGGAGCACCACUCCUUCAGAGCACAGAAAGGCCAGGAUGGCCGAAGCAUAGGGAACAACAGGAAAGUGACAUAAAUUGAGGCUGCAGAGGUAGAAGAAGGGCCUUAUUGGUCGUGCUAGGAAUUUGGAAUUCUGCAAAGAAGCCUGGGAAACAGAUUUUGGUGACACUCGCCUUCUCUUUAAUGUGCAGUUUCAGUUCUGUUGGUGUGAUUCUGCAUUGGAGAUGGCGUGCUGUAACGAAUGGCCAGGAGCUUAAGAGUCAUGCAGACUUGGGAGGCCUGGCCUUGCCACGCCCAGCUGCAUGGCCAUCCUCCUCCUGUUUCUGGCCGUUCUGUUUCUAAACCUUGGGGUUCUGAUAUUCCUACAUGUAAACUAGGGGCUGUAAUAGGAAUCUCACAGUCAAAGUGGAGGAAGGAGGAGCUUGAGAUUGAAAAAUCAGUUUGAGAAGCAGCCACCUUGACUGGCUUCACUCUAAUAGCCUGGACGCUGCCUCCACACUCCAGGUGCACUGCUCAGCAUUCUCCAAGAAGAUCAUUAAGGCAGACCCUACGUGUUAAAUUUCAAUCAGUUUCAUUGAGCAAAUAUGCUGUUAAAUAGAGACUGCUGUGUGCUGCGUCAGUGUGCCUUAUGGGCAAAUGUGAUGGUGACUAUAAAUGCAGACCAAGCAGUCCUUCCCACACUGUGUACACAAAGAAAGGAGCUCUGGAACUGGGAGCCAGGACAUCUGCAGGAGGAGAAUUCUGAAGUGAAAGGAGGCCUGGAUAUUGGUUGCAAGGCCUUGUCCCUGGAGCCUGGAUGCUCUCAUACCUUCUACAUCUGGGCCUCUGGGUCCAGGACAGUGCCAGGGAGAGUUCAUAGAAACAAAUGUGUUGAAGACCUUAGCGGUUGUCUGACUCUGAGACAGUUACCUGGCCACUCUUAAGUUUCCUCAUUUUUUUUUUAAUUUUACUUUAAGUUGCGGGAUACAUGUGCAGAACGUGCAGGUUUGUUACAUAGGUAUGCAUGUGCCAUGGUGGUUUGCUGCACCUGUCAACCUUUCAUCUAGGUUUUAAGCCCCUCAUGCAUUAGAUAUUUGUCCUAAUGCUCUCCUUCCCCUUGGCCCCCUGUCAGGUCCUGGUGUGUGUGUUGUCUGGCCCCCACCGUGUCCAUGUGUUCCUAUUGUUCAUCUCCCAUUUAUGAGUGAGAAUAUGUGGUGUUUGGCUUUCUCUUCCUGUGUUAGUUUGCUGAGGAUGAUGGUUUCCAGCUUCAUCCAUGUCCCUGCAGAGGACAUGAUCUCAUCCUUUUCAUGGCUGCAUAGUAUUCCGUGUUGUGUAUAUACCACAUUUUCUUUAUCCAGUCUUUCAUUGGUGGACAUUUGGGUUGGUUUCAUGUCUUUGCUAUUGUAAAUAGUGCUGCAAUAAACAUUAUGUGUGCAUGUGUCUUUAUAGUAAAAUGAUUUCUAUUCCUU
rnacentral:lncRNA from 1 species